rnacentral:lncRNA from 1 species
GUGCUUGCGUGCGUGUGCGUGACUGGGGACUGAACCCAGGGAUUUUGCACUGAUCUACAUUCAUCGCCUUUUUAAAAUUUUUUAUUUUGAGGCUCUCUGUUCGUAGCUAACUUGCCCAGACUGGGCUCAAACUUACAAUCCUCCCGCCUCAGCUUCCUAGAGCAUUGGGAUCACAGAAUGCACCAGUGUGUUCACCCCUUUGGGGACAUUUCAUACCCAAACUACAGCAGUUUAAUUACCAGAAACUUCACAGAAAGAAAGUCUCUUCUCAGCAUUUCGCGCUGGUCCCUUCUGUCUCUGGAGUGGAGUCUGGUUCUGUUCUGUGUGACGGUGCUUCCUGUAUUAAAGCAGCUCCCAGGCCCCACCUACCACCUCUCUUCCCUGGCCUAAGCAUGGCCACAGCCUUCAGCAGUGACUUGCGUGACAUUUUGAGCCCUGCUUCUUGCUCCUUACACACAAAGAGAGCCGAGGUCUGCACAUCAGAGCCCCAGCGGAAGCUCAGACCUCAAAGGCGACCCAUUUUCCUCCCACCCCUGCCUGCAGUUGAGGCAGGGGGCCUGGUUUGAGUGUCUGGCCUUGAACGUCAGCCUGGGAGGCACCACUGCCCCCAGGGCUCUCGCUUGCCUGUUGCUUAAUCUGCCCGUGAAGUCAGUCAUCGGAGGCACCUGCUGCCAGCUGGGCAAACAGCUCUGGGCCAGAGCAGAGCGCCAUCAGCCUUCGCAGCCCCACAUUGCCCGGUUUCUCCGUGUCACAGUGGCCGCAGGACGUGACAUCCUGGCUGAGCCAGAUGAGUGAGACAGCGCAGCUGACUUCAGCAGUGCCCGCGCUCCUCCGAAAGCCGUGAGUCACCGCGCUCUGCAAGCUGCAGUAAGGGCGCUGAACCAGGGCUGUGAGCAUCUCAGCAGCCCCUCUGCUGAGGACAGCAGGCUCAUGUCCAGGGCUCUUCGUCACCCUCAGCACGAACCACUGGCCCGGAGUUGCACUGCCCGGCCAUGCUGACCACCGCAGGAUCUACUCCACUGAGCAGCAAUGCUAACAGACAGUUUACCACCUGGCUGGGAACCAAACUCGUGAAAACAACUUCUCCAAAGCAGAUCGUGGUGCAUUGUGACAGAGAUGGCCGCCUUGACCUCCUGAAAUUCCUCCUGAAGAUGAAGUGCCGAGCCCAGCAGUCCACAGGAGAGUUCAUAGACAGUUCCAUUACACACAGCAAGACCUCCAGAGGAUCAGAUGUUCACCCAUGGGAAGAUGUGGACCGGAUGGGCAGAUUCAGAUGCAACUCAUAUUCUCAUCGGCUUCGGACAUAUUCAUUUUAUUGGGAUCAGAGCACAACAAAUCCUGUAAAGAUAAAUAACUGA